rnacentral:rRNA from 1 species
GACGAACGCUUGCGGCGUGCUUAACACAUGAAAGUCGAACGAAGUGGCGAACGGGUGAGUAACGCGUAAUCAACCUGCCCUUCAGAGGGGGACAACAGUUGGAAACGACUGCUAAUACCGCAUACUGUAGGAGGGGAUUGCGUCUGAUUAGCCUUCUGGAGGGGUAACGGCACACCAAGGCGAUGAUCAGUAGCCGGUCUGAGAGGAUGAACGGACACAGUGGGACUGAGACACGGCCCAGACUCCUACGGGAGGCAGCAGUGGGGAAUCUUCCGAAAUGGACGAAAGUCUGACGGAGCAACGCCGCGGGAGUGAUGACGGCCUUCGGGUUGUAAAGCGCUGUUAAUCGGGACGCGGUACCGGAAUAGAAAGCCACGGCUAACUACGUGCCAGCCGCCGCGGUAAUUC